GGUGACCUCGGAUCAGGUAGGAAUACCC
rnacentral:rRNA from 1 species